rnacentral:rRNA from 1 species
GGUAUGCUUUAGGAGGGGCUUGCGCCAUAUUAGUUAGUUGGUAGGGUAAUGGCCUACCAAGACGAUGAUGUGUAGCUGGACUGAGAGGUUGAACAGCCACAUUGGGACUGAGACACGGCCCAAACUCCUACGGGAGGCAGCAGUAGGGAAUUUUCGGCAAUGGAGGAAACUCUGACCGAGCAACGCCGCGUGAAUGACGAAGUACUUCGGUAUGUAAAGUUCUUUUAUCAAGGAAGAAAAGCAAAUGGCGAACCAUUUGUUUGCCGGUACUUGAUGAAUAAGCCCCGGCUAAUUAUGUGCCAGCAGCCGCGGUAAGACAUAAGGGGCAAGUGUUAUCCGGAAUUAUUGGGCGUAAAGGGUGCGUAGGCGGUCUAGUAAGUCAGUGGUGUAAUGGCAACGCUUAACGUUGUCCGGCUAUUGAAACUGCUAAACUUGAGUUAGAUAGAGGCGAGUGGAAUUCCAUGUGUAGCGGUAAAAUGCGUAAAUAUAUGGAGGAACACCAGAGGCGUAGGCGGCUCGCUGGGUCUUAACUGACGCUGAGGCACGAAAGCGUGGGGAGCAAACAGGAUUAGAUACCCUGGUAGUCCACGCCGUAAACGAUGAGUACUAAGUGUCGGGUUAAACCGGUACUGAAGUUAACACAUUAAGUACUCCGCCUGAGUAGUACGUACGCAAGUAUGAAACUUAAAGGAAUUGACGGGACUCCGCACAAGCGGUGGAUCAUGUUGUUUAAUUCGAAGAUACCCGAAAAACCUUACCAGGUCUUGACAUGUUUUUGCAAAAUGAUAGUAAUAUCGUGGAGGUUACCAGAAACACAGGUGGUGCAUGGUUGUCGUCAGCUCGUGUCGUGAGAUGUUAGGUUAAGUCCUAAAACGAGCGAAACCCUUAUCGUUAGUUGCCAGCACGUUAUGGUGGGGACUUUAACGAGACUGCCAAUGAUAAAUUGGAGGAAGGUGAGGAUCACGUCAAAUCAGCAUGCCCCUUAUGACCUGGGCUACAAACGUGAUACAAUGGCUGUUACAAAGGGUAGCUGAAACGCAAGUUCUUGGCCAAUCCCCAAAAACAGUCCCAGUCCGGAUUGAAGUCUGCAACUCGACUUCAUGAAGUUGGAAUCGCUA